UAACACGUAGGAGCCAAGCGUUAUCCGAAUUCACUGGGCGUAAAGCGCGUGUAGGCGGCUUGGUAAGUUGGAUGUAAAAGCUCCUGGCUCAACUGGGAGAGGACGUUCAAUACUGCCGGGCUAGAGGGCGACAGAGGGAGGUGGAAUUCCCGGUGUAGUGGUGAAAUGCGUAGAUAUCGGGAGGAACACCAGUGGCGAAAGCGGCCUCCUGGGUCGCACCUGACGCUCAGACGCGAAAGCUAGGGGAGCGAACGGG
rnacentral:rRNA from 1 species